UGUCUGUCGUUUCGGCAGAGUACUAGUGUACGUGGCUGCGUAUGUGUGUUCCUGCACGCUUUAUGUUCAGUGGAUUAGGAACAGAAUUGUGAGAGUGUGCCACUGUCGCUGUCAAACUCAUCUCAUGCUCAUGUAUGCUUGAUAAAAAAUGUUAUGUGGCACGACGCAGAUGCAGCGAAUCAAACGUGUGUCGUUUGUAAAUAUAGUGUGUAGUGCGUGACUGUAGUCUGAUGUUCUCUUCAAUGUUCAAUUUUUCAAUGACAACAACUCUAUUCUCAAAAUCUUUUCGAUCGUGCCUCUCAAGUCUGACUUUCGUUCCAAAAUGCAAUCCAGCACGCGCUGAAGAAUUAGAACAGCUGAAAGAAUAUCUAAAAUUCUCUGCUCGAAUGUGCGUUUUAACCGGGGCCGGAAUUUCUACAGAAAGUGGAAUUCCUGAUUACAGGUCUGAAGGUGUUGGUCUCUUUGCUACCAGCGACAGAAGACCAGUUUCUUACAAAGAUUUUUGUGGUAGCGAUAAAGUUAGAACAAGAUACUGGGCUAGAAAUUAUAUCGGUUGGCCAAGGUUUUCAUCCUUUGAGCCAAACGUUACUCACAAGCUACUGAAAAAGUUAGAAGACAUUGGUAGAGUAAGUUGUAUCGUAACGCAAAAUGUUGAGAGUUUACACGUAAAAGCUGGAAGUCAAAAUAUUAUAGAGCUUCACGGAACUGCUUUCAGAGUGAUGUGCUUAAACUGUGAUCAGAAGAUUAGUAGAUAUUCUUUUCAAGAAAUACUUGAUGAACUUAAUCCCAGUAUUACUUCUUUCGAUGAAACAAUCCGUCCAGAUGGAGAUGUAGAAUUAUCACAGGAACAAGUGGAAGAGUUCAAGGUACCUUCGUGCUCAAACUGUGGAGGAGUUUUGAAGCCUGACAUUGUUUUUUUCGGGGAGAACGUUGCAAGAGCAGUUGUCGAACUGAUAAAGCAAGAAGUAGAAACGGCCGAUUUUCUCCUAAUACUUGGAACUUCUCUUACAACAUUUUCGGGUUACAGAAUUGUGCUGCAAGCUCUCGAAGCUAAAAAACCUAUCGCAAUAGUCAACAUCGGGAAGACAAGGGGGGACGAGUAUGCCAACAUUAAAGUUCAAGGAAGAUGCGGAGAAAUUCUUCAUAAAAUGUACGCAGAAGAGCUGCAGGAUGUAAGUUAAUAAAGUCGAAUAAUAGAAUAAUAGAAUUGUCCAAUAACACUCUUCCGACGGGAUUCAUGAGGAUCCCGCCCAUGGAAAUGGAAUGUACCAGAUGGUCACCCCUCAUGAAUAAUUUAUCUCGACUGCGUUGGAACAGUAGGGUCGAUCAUGGAGUUGGACAAAAAAGGCAUGCCCAACAUCCCAUCAUAGCUGAGUGGAAAAUUAUUCGGCACUAACUGAAAGGGGCACGGAGUCCCAUUAAUAUCAAGAAAAACUUCGCCAAAUGUUUAAACCCUUCAUUACUUAUGCCAAAUAAAUGAAAAAUAACCUUUUUAUA